UACGUAGGGACCAAGCGUUGUUCGGAUUUACUGGGCGUAAAGGGCGCGUAGGCGGCGCGGUAAGUCACUUGUGAAAUCUCUGAGCUUAACUCAGAACGGCCAAGUGAUACUGCAGUGCUAGAGUGUGGAAGGGGCAAUCGGAAUUCUCGGUGUAGCGGUGAAAUGCGUAGAUAUCGAGAGGAACACCUGCGGCGAAGGCGGGUUGCUGGGCU
rnacentral:rRNA from 1 species